ACUCCUACGGGAGGCAGCAGUGGGGGAAUAUUGCACAAUGGGCGCAAGCCUGAUGCAGCCAUGCCGCGUGUGUGAAGAAGGCCUUCGGGUUGUAAAGCACUUUUCAGUCGUGAGGAAGGUAGUGUAGUUAAUAGCUGCAUUAUUUGACGUUAGCGACAGAAGAAGCACCGGCUAACCUCCGUGCCAGCAGCCGCGGUAAUACGGAGGGUGCGAGCGUUAAUCGGAAUUACUGGGCGUAAAGCGCAUGCAGGUGGUUUGUUAAGUCAGAUGUGAAAGCCCGGGGGCUCAACCUCGGAAUUGCAUUUGAAACUGGCAGACUAGAGUACUGUAGAGGGGGGUAGAAUUUCAGGUGUAGCGGUGAAAUGCGUAGAGAUCUGAAGGAAUACCGGUGGCGAAGGCGGCCCCCUGGACAGAUACUGACACUCAGAUGCGAAAGCGUGGGGAGCAAACAGGAUUAGAUACCCUGGUAGGAUAGCGG
rnacentral:rRNA from 1 species